AGGGUGAUCGCUGAGAUAUCUGAAUCUCACCCCAAUGUUCUAAGAACUGGGAAAACGGGCUGCAAAAGGUGCAGACAAACCUCCGUCUCAGUCGUUUGGAAUUUGUGGGUCAAGCCGACAGGGUCCUCCAAGCUCCCGCUAUUUUCCCGGCUACAUGGGCUGCAUUUCAUAAAAGAUCUGAGGUCUUCAACAAUCCUUACAUCAGCCUCUGGAGGAUCUGAGACACAGGUUUUCAGCCCCACAGGAGCUGGGAACCAGAUCCAUGUUUCCUGGUCAAGACGCUCACCCAGGGGAGAAGAGAGUUCUCCCUCCUGCAAGCUUCCUCAGCUAUGUGUGGCAAAGAGACCCCUGCCCAGGGAGGUUUCUCAAACUUCUAAGAGCACAGGAGCGGUCUGUGGAUGCAGAUUCAGAUUCGGUGGGCCUGGAGUCUGAGCUCCUGCAACUAUAAUGAAGCUUCGCGGCGUUCGUUGCAGGCGCUGCCUGGCCGCAGACAUCCUGAGCAGCACUGGUAGAAACAAGGCAAGUUGUCAGGGCAGGAGGAAGACUCCUGCAGCAUCACAAGCUCACUCAGGGCCCACCUGACCCCGGGGGCCCUUUGAUCUUCUGCCUA
rnacentral:lncRNA from 1 species